rnacentral:misc_RNA from 1 species
GAUGAAGAACGCAGUGAAAUGCGAUAAGUAGUGUGAAUUGCAGAAUUCAGUGAAUCAUCGAGUCUUUGAACGCACAUUGCGCCCCCUGGUAUUCCGGGGGGCAUGCCUGUCCGAGCGUCAUUGCUGCCCUCAAGCACGGCUUGUGUGUUGGGCCUCCGUCCUCCUCCCGGGGGACGGGCCCGAAAGGCAGCGGCGGCACCGCGUCCGGUCCUCGAGCGUAUGGGGCUUCGUCACCCGCUCUUGUAGGCCCGGCCGGCGCUUGCCGACACAUCAAUCUUUUUUCCAGGUUGACCUCGGAUCAGGUAGGGAUACCCGCUGAACUUAAGCAUAUCAAUAAGCGGAGGA